UACUAAUAAAAAUAAUCCCGAAAAUUGGGUAGACAACUCUAUUUUAUGCUGCGCAGCAAAACUACAAACAUGCAAUAUCUACGAUUUAUUUACAUUUUAGAUCACUUUCGAUCCGUGAGGGGUGAUUCAAAUCAAAAUACUCUAAACCCCUGCUGCACACUGUCCUGCAGUUGACAGAGUGCGAAACGUCAACGUCACUGUCAUCUCACCGAACUGUCACCAGCAUAAUUGUUUGUAAACAAAGCAGUUAGCUGUAGUUCGGUUCGAUAUGUGACCGCGAACAUUUUUAUCGGUGGUUUAUGGCCAAUAGCCACCGAUUUGACGAACGGUAUGAUCUGGUAAUGAAUGAGUGAAAGUGGCGGGUGUUUUGCUGCCAGAUCUGGUACUUCCCGAGGAAGAACAGACUGCAGAAACCCCAAUAAUCCCGGGAUCACCAUGAUGGCCAUCUUGCCAAGCAAGAAGCACAUCAGAUGCAAUCCGGUAAUCACUCCUGGAUCUGGCCAGUCGGUGAACAGUCGAGGGCUUUGACGAGUUCCGAGGGAAGAUAAUUUAACCCCUCGCCAACUACUAACGCCCUGUCACGCCAACCUAUGGCCAACCCAGAGGAUUACGACGGAUGUUCUUAGAUGUAAUUGAGAAAUUUAAUAAAGUUUUUGAAUAAAUUUGGCGGAGAACCUUUCCAGUUCUUCCGCAAUCGGGUAAUCGGGAUCAACGACGAGCAACUCCGAAAUCAUUGCCCUAAUCUUGGCGUAAUCCGGGUCCUCAUCUUCGGUUCCGUUCAACAGAUUGUUGACGUAUUCUUUGGCUUGUUCCUUGAUUUCGUUAGUGGGUUCCUUGGACUUCU